AACGAACGCUGGCGGCAGGCUUAACACAUGCAAGUCGAACGCCCCGCAAGGGGAGUGGUAGACGGGUGAGUAACGCGUGGGAACAUACCCUUUCCUGCGGAAUAGCUCUGGGAAACUGGAAUUAAUACCGCAUACGCCCUACGGGGGAAAGAUUUAUCGGGGAAGGAUUGGCCCGCGUUGGAUUAGCUAGUUGGUGGGGUAAAGGCCUACCAAGGCGACGAUCCAUAGCUGGUCUGAGAGGAUGAUCAGCCACAUUGGGACUGAGACACGGCCCAAACUCCUACGGGAGGCAGCAGUGGGGAAUAUUGGACAAUGGGCGCAAGCCUGAUCCAGCCAUGCCGCGUGAGUGAUGAAGGCCUUAGGGUUGUAAAGCUCUUUCACCGAUGAAGAUAAUGACGGUAGUCGGAGAAGAGGCCCCGGCUAACUUCGUGCCAGCCGCCGCCGUAAUAC
rnacentral:rRNA from 1 species